GAUGAUAGUUAAGUGUCAAAUUAAUUACUGUUCUAACAUGGACAAGCGCAUAAACACUUGCUCUUAGGCUAUUAGGCUCGAUAUUACUAAUUUGAAAUUUUCUUCUUAUUGCAGGACUCGAAUCCGUCGUCGUGCCGGAGGCACAAACGCCAUAGCGAGGAUCCCAGAGCCAUGAGCACAAGAGAUUAUGUCGGAAUAGCUAUGGGCCUUAUAUCGAAGGGGCUCGUUUGGAUUUCGAAACCAACUCAUGGUUGGUUUUCACCGCAACUACACCUCACACAUUGCACCUGCAAGACCGUUAGUCCUGAACUCAAGUGUGAUUAGUGCAUCCCAAUUCUGUUCCUGGUUUUCCAAGGAUUAAUGGCUGCCACCUUCUUCAUAGCCACAAUAGUGAUUGCCAAGUUAAUUUUUUUUCAUGGGAGGUGGCCUAUAGCAGCUUUUCAUGCACUAGUUGUACCACCCCUCUUUGGUUAGUUUGUAUACCAGGCCAUACCUUUUGUGUUUCGGUAUCUGGUAUUGAUCAUGGAUGCUAGGGUAUUUGGGGCAGUUAUAUCCAUUUCGUUGUGCUAUUGAUUUGCACGUCUGAUAGCUCGCUAGCUAUGAUCACACACAUAUAGUAUCAAUGUGGCUAUAAAUUCAAAUCUGCUAGCUGUAAUAGUACUAAUUCUGUGAAACUAAAUAUAUUGGCACCUUGUAUGUGAAAUCUUUCCUUAUCAGCAAGAGGACAGAGAGGUAGGGUAGUUUAACAGAGGAAUAUCAUCAAUCCCCUUAAUCAUCGUCUCUAUACAAAGAGCAGCUAGGGCAUUAGCUUUGAGGUUCGACCGACUAAUUGAUCAGAUUAUAAAUGAUCUCACAUGCAAUACUGACUAAUACUCAUCAUUUUUCUCAAUUAUAAGCCUCUCCUUAGAUAAAUCUUUUGUCUUCUUCUCUAUAUAUACAUUCACCUUAACGUUAUUCUGAAAGAAUAUCACUCUUCUUCUUCUUCUUCUUCUUCACCUUAACCUUAUAUAUCUAUUUCCUUGAAUGCUGAACCACCCCCCUCCCCGAGCUUGAACAUAGCGCUUUAGCUAUGAUCAUUAUGUAUAGUCAUCGAUAUUUAUAUAUAUAUUUUUAUAUAUAUAUAGAUCAUUAUAUAGCGCUUUAGCUAUGAUCAUUAUGUAUAGUCAUCAAUAUAUAUAUAUAUAGAUCAUUAUAUUAUUGAGCCAAAGAGCCUAAGAACAAGUGUUUAUGUGUCUGUCCAGGUUAGAACAGUAAUUUGACACUUAACUAUCGUCUGAAAAUCUCUAUAUCUGAAAACUAUCAUUAUAUAGUUGUUAAAUUCUAUGCUUUGGCUAUAUAUAAUGAUCGCUAUAUAUACUAUAUACAAUGAUAUAUAACGAUCAUUACUAUAUAUAGUGAUCAUAGCUAGCGCGCUAUCAUCUUCUUCGUCAUCUUCUUCUUUUUUUCUUCUUCUUCAACUUAAUAACCUUAGAUAUAUCUAUUCCCUUGAAUGCCCCCUGAGCUUGAACAUAGCGCGCUAGCUAUGAUCACUAUAUAUAGUCAUCACUAUAUAUAUAAUGAUCUUUAUAUAUAGUGAUCAUUAUAUAUAGUCAAACCAUGGAAUUUAACAACUAUAUAUUGAUAGUUUUAGAUAUAAAUAUUUUCAUACGAUAGUUAAGUGUCAAAUUACUGUUCUAACAUGGACAGGCGCAUAAACACUUGCUCUUUGGCUAUUAGGCUCGAUAAUACUAAUUUGAUUUUUCUUCUUAUUGCAGGACUUGAAUCCGUCGUCGUGUCGGAUGCACAAACUCCGUAGCGAGGACCCCAGAGCAAUGAGCACAUGAGAUUAUGUCAGAAUAGCUACAGGCCUUAUAUCGAUGAGGCUCGUUUGGAUUUCGAAACCAACUCAUAGUUGGUUUUGACCGCAACUACACCUCACACAUUGCACCUGCAAGACCGUUGGGCCUGAACUCAAGUGUGAUGAGUGCAUCCCAAUUCCGUUCCAGGAUUUCCAAGGAUGGAUGGCUGCCAUCUUCUUUAUAGCCACAAUGGUGAUUGACAGGUUAAUUUUUUGUCAUGGGAGGUGGCCUAUAGCAGCUUUUCAUGCGCUAGUCGUACAACGUACGUAGUUUUUCUCCCUGGUGUAGGGUUUCUGCGAAUAAAAAACGUACGUACUAGUGUUAUUUCUUUUACUUUCAAGUACUUGUUCUUUUAUUUAUUACUAUGUCUCCUUGUUAUCAGGAUACCUUAAUGUUUGCUAUCCCUGUGAGCGGAAUUGGAAGAAAAAGUAAUAAAGGCCUAUUCACCCCCCUCUAGGACCUUCAAACACUUACCCCACAAAAAGGACACACUGAGCCGAAAUGGCAUCGUCGAGCAGUAGAGGGCGUGCGAGCUCUGGAUUUUCGGUGGUUGACUGUGCCAGCAGAGAAGGAGUCACAAACCAAGAAGCUGUGUCAGGUGGACGUACGUGACGGUGCUAACGAGUAUGGUGGUGUACCUCCGGUGCUCCUCGGCCCCACUGGAUCCUAACAGAGAGAAACAAAAGUAGAAAGCUAGAGAAAAUUGAAUGAAAAUAUGCAAGUUUUAUUAAAAUAUACCCAAAGCAAAUAGCCAAAGCAAUAUUUCCCUCAACGAGCUAGGAAGAGAUAAUCUAGUUUCCUAGAACGUAUAUGAAGAAGGAAGCACAACGUGGUUAUUCCUAUUGCUCUAAGAAAACUGACAUAAAACAUCUACAAUUUCCUAUGCCCAAAGCAAUAUUCCCUCAACGAGCUAGGAAGAGAUAAUCCAGUUUCCUAAAACGUAUAUGAAGAAGGAAGCACAACGGUCGUUAUUCCUAUUGCUCUAAGAAAACUCACAUAAAACAUUUACAAUUUCCUAUACCCAAAGCAAUAUUCCCUCAACGAACUAGGAAGAGAUAAUCUAGUUUCCUAAAACGUAUAAGAAGAAUUAAGGAAGUACAACGUCGUCAUUCCUAAUGCUCUAAGAAAACUCUCAUAAAACAUCUACAAAUUCCUAUAUAUACCGUGUUUUUUGUUAAAAUUCAAUGAACUGUUUUAUCAAACCUCUCAGUCUUGGCUUGAUAAACGUAAAGCUUUGGUUUGUACACCAAAAUUAACUAAUGAAGUAUCCGUACGAACACCCUCCUC
rnacentral:lncRNA from 1 species